GUGGCACUCUGAGAAAAUUUCUACUUCGAUCUUACGCAGUGAUGACCAACUUUCCAUCGGCAAAUGAAUGGGAAAUUAAAAAUGCAAUUUCUUGGCAUUUCAAACAAGCACCAGGGAGAGCAGGGGGUGGUGGAUAUGGACAAAGAUAAUUAAUUUUUGCAUCUUAAGUUGUUUUACAUAUUUUACAAUAUUUUAUUUGAUCAUUUUUAUGUUUGUUUUCUAAGUUGUUAAUAUUGUUCUAAAUAAAUCCUUUAUAUUCAA